rnacentral:rRNA from 1 species
GAUGAACGCUGGCGGCGUGCCUAAUACAUGCAAGUCGAGCGAACGGACGAGAAGCUUGCUUCUCUGAUGUUAGCGGCGGACGGGUGAGUAACACGUGGAUAACCUACCUAUAAGACUGGGAUAACUUCGGGAAACCGGAGCUAAUACCGGAUAAUAUUUUGAACCGCAUGGUUCAAAAGUGAAAGACGGUCUUGCUGCCACUUAUAGAUGGAUCCGCGCUGCAUUAGCUAGUUGGUAAGGUAACGGCUUACCAAGGCAACGAUGCAUAGCCGACCUGAGAGGGUGAUCGGCCACACUGGAACUGAGACACGGUCCAGACUCCUACGGGAGGCAGCAGUAGGGAAUCUUCCGCAAUGGGCGAAAGCCUGACGGAGCAACGCCGCGUGAGUGAUGAAGGUCUUCGGAUCGUAAAACUCUGUUAUUAGGGAAGAACAUAUGUGUAAGUAACUGUGCACAUCUUGACGGUACCUAGUCAGAAAGCCACGGCUAACUACGUGCCAGCAGCCGCGGUAAUACGUAGGUGGCAAGCGUUAUCCGGAAUUAUUGGGCGUAAAGCGCGCGUAGGCGGUUUUUUAAGUCUGAUGUGAAAGCCCACGGCUCAACCGUGGAGGGUCAUUGGAAACUGGAAAACUUGAGUGCAGAAGAGGAAAGUGGAAUUCCAUGUGUAGCGGUGAAAUGCGCAGAGAUAUGGAGGAACACCAGUGGCGAAGGCGACUUUCUGGUCUGUAACUGACGUUGAUGUGCGAAAGCGUGGGGAUCAAACAGGAUUAGAUACCCUGGUAGUCCACGCCGUAAACGAUGAGUGCUAAGUGUUAGGGGGUUUCCGCCCCUUAGUGCUGCAGCUAACGCAUUAAGCACUCCGCCUGGGGAGUACGACCGCAAGGUUGAAACUCAAAGGAAUUGACGGGGACCCGCACAAGCGGUGGAGCAUGUGGUUUAAUUCGAAGCAACGCGAAGAACCUUACCAAAUCUUGACAUCCUUUGACAACUCUAGAGAUAGAGCUUUCCCCUUCGGGGGACAAAGUGACAGGUGGUGCAUGGUUGUCGUCAGCUCGUGUCGUGAGAUGUUGGGUUAAGUCCCGCAACGAGCGCAACCCUUAAGCUUAGUUGCCAUCAUUAAGUUGGGCACUCUAAGUUGACUGCCGGUGACAAACCGGAGGAAGGUGGGGAUGACGUCAAAUCAUCAUGCCCCUUAUGAUUUGGGCUACACACGUGCUACAAUGGACAAUACAAAGGGCAGCGAAACCGUGAGGUCAAGCAAAUCCCAUAAAGUUGUUCUCAGUUCGGAUUGUAGUCUGCAACUCGACUACAUGAAGCUGGAAUCGCUAGUAAUCGUAGAUCAGCAUGCUACGGUGAAUACGUUCCCGGGUCU